rnacentral:rRNA from 1 species
CACGUAGGAGGCAAACGUUAUCCGGAUUUACUGGGCGUAAAGCGCAUGUAGGUGGUUCUGUAAGUAGGGCGUGAAAGCUCCCGGCUCAACUGGGAGAGGCCGUUCUAAACUACAGAGCUAGAGGAUGGUAGAGGGAGGUGGAAUUCCGGGUGUAGCGGUGGAAUGCGCAGAUAUCCGGAGGAACACCAGUGGCGAAAGCGGCCUCCUGGUCCAUUCCUGACACUCAGAUGCGAAAGCUAGGGUAGCAAACGGGAUUAGAUACCCGCGUAGUCCCU